GAUGAACGCUGACAGAAUGCUUAACACAUGCAAGUCAACUGUGGCUGACGGGUUAGUAACGCGUAAAGAACUUGCCUCACAGAUAGAGACAACCUUUGGAAACGAAUGCUAAUCCCUGAUCCUGUGAGAGAGCUUUGCGUCCAAUUAGCUAGUUGGAGAGUUAACGGCUCACGAAGGCGACGAUGGGUACCCGGCCUGGGCGGGUGAUCGGCGACAAGGGGGCUAAGGCAGGGCACUGACGACUACGGUAGGCAGGAGGGGGGAAUAUUAGACAAGCGUCCAAGGUCUGAUCCAGGAAUUGUGUGUGGAAGAUGAAGUUUUCGGGAUGUAAGGUGAUGUGAGUAAGAAAGCGGUACCAACAAAAGAAGUGACGGCUAAAUACGUGCCAGCACCCGCGGUAAUAC
rnacentral:rRNA from 1 species